CCCAUCAGAAACAAAGAAAACCUCAACUGC
rnacentral:piRNA from 1 species